rnacentral:tRNA from 4 species
GCGCGGGUCGCAUAGUCUGGCCAAUCGCGGAAGGCUCAAGACCUUCUCCCUCAGGGGUUCGCAGGUUCGAAUCCUGCCCCGCGCACCA